rnacentral:rRNA from 1 species
GACGAACGCUGGCGGCGUGCCUAAUACAUGCAAGUUGAACGCUGAAGACUGGUACUUGUACUAGACGCAAGAGUAGCGAACGGGUGAGUAACGCGUGGGUAACCUACCUCUUAGCGGGGGACAACUAUUGGAAACGAUAGCUAAUACCGCAUAAUAAUUUUUAACACAUGUUAGGAAUUUGAAAGUACCAACUGGUACACUAAGAGAUGGACCCGCGUUGUAUUAGCUAGUUGGUAGUGUAAUGGACUACCAAGGCGAUGAUACAUAGCCGACCUGAGAGGGUGAUCGGCCACAUUGGGACUGAGACACGGCCCAAACUCCUACGGGAGGCAGCAGUAGGGAAUCUUCGGCAAUGGACGAAAGUCUGACCGAGCAACGCCGCGUGAGUGAAGAAGGUUUUCGGAUCGUAAAGCACUGUUGUAUGGGAAGAACAGCUAGAAUAGGAAAUGAUUUUAGUUUGACGGUACCAUACCAGAAAGGGACGGCUAAAUACGUGCCAGCAGCCGCGGUAAGAC